rnacentral:rRNA from 1 species
AUGCACGGUCGAUUCCUCAUGCACCGGGGAGAUGGCAGAAAAGAUUGGGCCAAAGAAGAAUCUAGACACGCCUGCACCUGCAUUGCAAGGAAGAAACACCUCAAAGCUGCAACAGCGAUGGUAGUAGAUACUUCGCAGAUGCUGCGGGGAACCUACGCCUUAUCGGAGGCCAGAGCCGGAGGAGCUACAAGUCUAGAGAAGUCUGUGAUAAACCCAUGGAUACAAAUUACAAUUACAGUCCAACACAACACCGCGACGGUGACCGCUGAAAGUUACCGUGAAAGGUACCUCAGCUCCGCGAUAACAAUUACAGACAAAAGGCAUGUCGUGCUCAUCGCGAGUGACCGGAGAUAA